rnacentral:misc_RNA from 1 species
AUUAAAAAAAAACAAAAAAAAUUGUUGAUUUUGCAAUUAAAUUAAUUGUCAUCGUUGCAUUUUGUGAUGCGAGCUUCAUAGAAUUUGAAGGUGCUUAUAAAUUUUCGUACGUGGUGUCUAAAUAGAAUUCAUGGGCUGUGCUAAGUUGAUGCCAAAAAUUUAAAAAAGAAAUAAAUUUGAGUUUCCAACCUCUAGAGAAAUAAAGGAAAAAAG